UACGUAGGGGGCUAGCGUUGUCCGGAAUCAUUGGGCGUAACGAGCGUGUGGGCGGUCCGGUAAGUCCGCUGUAAAAGUCAAAGGCUCAACCUUUGAAUGUCAGUGGAUACUGCCGGGCUAGAGUCCGGAAGAGGCGAGUGGAACUCCUGGUGUAGCGGUGGAAUGCGCUGAUAUCAGGAAGAACGCCAACGGCGAAGGCAGUUCGCUGGGACGGUACUGACGCUGAGAAGCGAAAGCGUGGGGAGCGAACAGG
rnacentral:rRNA from 1 species